rnacentral:rRNA from 1 species
GACGAACGCUGGCGGCGUGCCUAAUACAUGCAAGUAGAACGCUGAAGGAGGAGCUUGCUUCUCUGGAUGAGUUGCGAACGGGUGAGUAACGCGUAGGUAACCUGCCUGGUAGCGGGGGAUAACUAUUGGAAACGAUAGCUAAUACCGCAUAACAGUAGAUAUCGCAUGAUAUCUACUUGAAAGGUGCAAUUGCAUCACUACCAGAUGGACCUGCGUUGUAUUAGCUAGUUGGUGAGGUAACGGCUCACCAAGGCGACGAUACAUAGCUGACCUGAGAGGGUGAUCGGCCACACUGGGACUGAGACACGGCCCAGACUCCUACGGGAGGCAGCAGUAGGGAAUCUUCGGCAAUAGACGGAAGUCUGACCGAGCAACGCCGCGUGAGUGAAGAAGGUUGUCGGAUCGUAAAGCUCUGUUGUAAGAGAAGAACGAGUGUGAGAGUGGAAAGUUCACACUGUGACGGUAUCUUACCAGAAAGGGACGGCUAACUACGUG